ACCGCUGCGCCACCCUUUCCUAAUAUCUAAUAUAAAAGGGCAUCAGACGGACUCUCUUCUCAUCUCUCUGUGCCCCCUCCCGCCGCAUCCCCAUCCCCUUGUCUUCUUUGCGGAUGCGCUCGCUUUGGCUAGGCUAGGGUUGUUGCCGAGGCGUGGAGGCGCCCCAGUUCCCCAUCUCCCCGCCUCAGUGAUGGAGAGGUGCGAGAUGGAUGUGGGGAGGAGCGGGCAUGGUGCAGUCUGCAGUGGCCCAAGGAGACGUUGGCCUGGCAGCGGCGGCAGGAGCGGUUGGAGGCGACCACAGGCAUCCAGUCGUCACGGCAAGGGGCCAGUGAUGUGGCUGCUCAAGGUCCGGUUCAUCUUGGAUGUCACGGAGGUAACCCAUAUCCGAGCAGUACUUUACUCCAAUCGCAUGACACGCUGCUCCCACCUGUGAGGCUAAAUCCCCAUAUUAUCCAUCCAAAUCGGUCGUGUUCUCUGAAUGAUGUGUUGUGAGCUUCAUGGUUGGGUGCAGACUCCUGCUUAAAGUUUACAAUCGAACACAGUUUCCGGGAUGGAUGAGUGGUGUGCCUAAUUUGUUUCUGAAAAUUCCAAGGUUUCUAUGUGGUUUCAGUAAAAAAAUUUGAUUGGGAUAAGUUUGAUUGAUCUGAUGAUUCUGUUGUUUCUUACUAUCAAGAAAAAGUUGAUCUCAUGUUGUUUAUAUUUUAUUAUAUGGGAUUUAUUUUGUAGGACAGAAUUUUGCAGUGAUUGAGUGCCUUGCCUCAUUGGACAUGUUCCGCGUGCCCGGUGCCUGCCUGUGCGAGCAGGCGUCGACGGGGCAGAAGGCGGCCCUAUACACUGGCAACGCUUCCUGCACUUGAAAAACCUCGGACAGUGAAGAACAUGGGAGUGCAAGGACACAUUCUGUAUUCUUGAUAUAAUGGUAGGAAGUACUAUGUAAAUAGUGUUUUUGUAGUGACACUGACAAAGCUUAUGCAUGAGAUAGAGCUUGGUUGUACAUUACUUUGCAGGUUUCAAGCCUUUUGAUGGAAGCUCCUGUAUCUUCCUAGCAAGGCUGAUGGACUCUGGUGCUUGGUGAAUGUUGCCCAGCCCUAGACGCCUUCUUAAGUUUUGCAUAAAUACAUCAUCUGGGCUAAUCAAUUUAUAUGAAAACAAAUCAGUAGUGAUUUCGUCAAAUAUAUGGGUUAUUUUGAUGACAGUUUGCUUCUCUCCCUAGCUGAUCAAAUCAACUAUUUUAAUCUCAUUGAACAGCUAGAUGAAUUGAGGUGCUAAUUAAAUUAAUAUGCCCCCACCAAUUUAUUAUGUACUAAUUGAAUUAAUAUGCUCUCACAGGUUUGUUAGGUGAUAACUAAAACGAACAUUCUUUGGCUGACAUUUGAAGUAAGAUUUAAAACAACCUACAGAACAAACUGGAGAGGGUACACAUCAGAUGGCUCCCUCCCAUGGAGAAUGAACUGAAGAGUAAUAUUGAUGGCACUUUCCACCCUGAACCGAACGCUGGCGGUUGGGGUGCAGUCAUCAGGAAUCUUAAAGGAGAGGUAAAAGUAUGUGGAGCACUUACAUGGAGAUCAGGCUGUUAUAUGGGGUGCCUAGCUAGGAAUGGAUAAAGGAGCCAGACCUAUUGGCCUUGAAACAGAUUCAGUGCUGCUGAAGAAGGGGGUAAACAAUGAUGAAUGUGGCCUCUCUGCUCUCUACCUAGGCUUAGAAGAGGAGAUCAAGGAAUAUCUGAAGCAAAACUUUGAAGUGUGUCGUUUUACUUCUCCUAAGAGGAACUGUAAUAAAGCAGGCCAUUGUUUCGCUAGCUAUGGUUGUACCUUAAGCAUGUAUGAUCAUCUUCAAACAGAUCAUGUAAUUCCACUUG